GCAAGCUUUAACACCUAUCCCUGUUCCUGAGCCUUCCACCAGGGCCUCGCCUGUGUUACCAGAGACCCAGACAGAGGUGGUGGAACCAGAUCCCCUGCCAACGACUGCAACAGCCGUAGUGGAUCCAGUUCCAGAAACCCAGCCAAAGCCAGCCCCAGAACCGGAACUGGCAACGCAACCAGCACCAGAAUGAUUGCCAGCACUGAGUCCAGCGCUUGCAAACCCAUCUACAACUUCAACACCAGAAGGCACCACCGAGCCUGCACUGGCAGCAGCAGCAGAUAACCCUACACAAGAGGCUCAGCCAGAGCCUGAAUACCACAUAGUGCACCAGCAGAGAGCAGUUCACCAUCAACAGAAACAGCCCCAUCACCUGCAUCACUUCCAGAGGGACCAAGCCCAGGUCCACAAUCCAGUGAGGAACUGAUGUCUCUAGCAUCAAGGGAACUGUUCCAGGCUGAACAGGAAGCAAUGACAGCCUCCAGGGAGCUUGGAUGGUGGAACGGAGCAACCCACCGCCUCUCAGCUCCUCUAAUCAAUCCGUUUGUUGUAGAAAGAGGACUUUUAUACAAGGAAACUCUUUCUGGUGGGCAUCAGGAAGAUUGGCAUCCUCAGAGACAGUUGGUAGUUCCAACUAAGUACCAGAGAAUUAAAAGUUUGUCAGUUCACAGCCCAGGGAGGAGAUGACGCUGAGUGGCCUGAAGGUGUCUAUUAUGAAGAAAAAAGUGACAGUGGUGUGGAAGAGGUGAACCUCUCCAUGACCUUUGGAUGUAUGCAGCAACAGCAGAUGAAGGAGCUGCGCACUAGCUUCGCGCCGAUAUUCUCAGCCACCCCAGGACGGACCAAACGGGCAUCCCACUCCAUUGACAGCGGUAAUGCUCACCCAAUUAGAGUCCAACCUUACCGGGUGUCUCCUCAUGCUAAAACUGCUAUAGAAUGGGAAAUCAAGGAUAUGCUACAGAUGGAUGUAAUCCACCCCUCUGACAGUGCAUGGGCAUCUUUAGUGGUUCUAGUUCCCAAACCAGAUGGGGAGAUACGUUUUUGCGUGGUCUACCGUAAACUAAAUGCUGUAACUCGCACAGGUAACUAUCCAGUGCCACGCACAGAUGAACUAUUGGAGAAA